AUUGCGGUGAGCUCGGACGGUUCCCUCUUGGAAGGUAAACUUAAUGGUGAAGUUGUUCUCGUCGAUGUGAAUUUUGCGGUUCAGGUGGAUUUCAAGGCACUACAAAUCAGUCUUAAGUCGUAUUCUAUUUCUAACAUUGGUGCAAUCAACAUCGACUUUGAAGGUAGCAUGCUCAACUGGGUUCUGCAAGGAGUUACUGAUUAUGUGACCACUCAACUAAAGGACGAAGUUAUUGCAGUGGUAGAGGCCGUUUGCUCUUUUACUAUGACCAGUAUUUUUGACAUUAUCAAUAAGGUGUUGGAGGGAUUAACGCCGUAAAAAGCAAUGCAAGAAGCUAAAUUUCAUCGAGUUUUGACAUUUUUAUUUUCUUGGUAAAAGAAAUAAAUUUAAAUACACAAA